GACGAACGCUGGCGGCGUGCUUAACACAUGCAAGUCGAACGGAAAGGCCCUGCUUUUGUGGGGUGCUCGAGUGGCGAACGGGUGAGUAACACGUGAGUAAUCUGCCCUUGACUUUGGGAUAACUUCAGGAAACUGGGGCUAAUACCGGAUAGGAGCUCCUGCUGCAUGGUGGGGGUUGGAAAGUUUCGGCGGUUGGGGAUGGACUCGCGGCUUGUCAGCUUGUUGGUGGGGUAGUGGCUUACCAAGGCUUUGACGGGUAGCCGGCCUGAGAGGGUGACCGGCCACAUUGGGACUGAGAUACGGCACAGACUCCUACGGGAGGCAGCAGUGGGGAAUAUUGCACAAUGGGCGGAAGCCUGAUGCAGCAACGCCGCGUGCGGGAUGACGGCCUUCGGGUUGUAAACCGCUUUCGCCUGUGACGAAGCGUGAGUGACGGUAAUGGGUAAAGAAGCACCGGCUAACUACGUG
rnacentral:rRNA from 1 species